ACUCAAAUGAAUUGACGGAGGGCUAUUUCAGCGGUGGAGCAUGUGGUUUAAUCCGAUAUACCGCGUAAAACCUUACCAGCUCUUGAUAAGCAAACUUAUUCCUCUUUAAUGGGAGGUAAAUUCAUUUCUUUGAAUGUUAGUUUGCACAGGUGUUGCAUGGCUGUCGUCAGCUCGUGUUUUGAGAUGUUAGGUUAACUCCUUUAACGGGCGCAACCCCUUAACUUAUUCGUAAGUUUACUGCUUAGGAAAUCUAAGAGGAAGGCAGGGAUGAUGUCAAGUCGUUAUGACCUUUAUGGGCUGGGCUACUCACGUGCUACAAUGGUGCGUACAAAGGGAAGCAAAAACGUAAGUUUUAGCAAUACCCAAAAAACGUAUCUCAGUUCAGAUUGUACCCUGAAAAUUGGGUACAUGAAGUUGGAAUCGCUAGUAAUCGUAUAUCAGAAUGGUACGGUGAAUAUCCCCUCAGCCCUAGCACACACCGCCCGU
rnacentral:rRNA from 1 species